rnacentral:lncRNA from 1 species
UAUGUUUUUCUGUAAUUAAUUCAAAUAAUUCAUAUAUGCAGUUUCUAUGGUCCAAUUGUGUUAAAAUUUUUAUGAUGGGUUCAUUAUUGUAUGCUUGAACUACGUAAAAAUUACGUACUCAUUGGAUCACGUAUAACUUAGUUAUCGAUUUAUUUAGCUCUAUUCUUGUUAAAUCUAUGCAUUCACAUCGAAUCAGAUGAGAGAGAAGUUU